rnacentral:rRNA from 1 species
AACGCUAGCUACAGGCUUAACACAUGCAAGUCGAGGGGAAACGAUAUUGGAAGCUUGCUUCCGAUAGGCGUCGACCGGCGCACGGGUGAGUAACGCGUAUCCCACCUGCCCACCACUUGGGGAUAACCUUGCGAAAGUAAGACUAAUACCCAAUGAUAUCUCUAGAAGACAUCUGAAAGAGAUUAAAGAUUUAUCGGUGAUGGAUGGGGAUGCGUCUGAUUAGCUUGUUGGCGGGGUAACGGCCCACCAAGGCAACGAUUAGUAGGGGUUCUGAGAGGAAGGUCCCCCACAUUGGAACUGAGACACGGUCCAAACUCCUACGGGAGGCAGCAGUGAGGAAUAUUGGUCAAUGGGCGAGAGCCUGAACCAGCCAAGUAGCGUGCAGGAAGACGGCCCUAUGGGUUGUAAACUGCUUUUAUAAGGGAAUAAAGUUAGUCUCGUGAGACUUUUUGCAUGUACCUUAUGAAUAAGGACCGGCUAAUUCCGUGCCAGCAGCCGCGGUAAUACGGAAGGUCCGGGCGUUAUCCGGAUUUAUUGGGUUUAAAGGGAGCGUAGGCCGGAGAUUAAGCGUGUUGUGAAAUGUAGAUGCUCAACAUCUGAACUGCAGCGCGAACUGGUUUCCUUGAGUACGCACAAAGUGGGCGGAAUUCGUGGUGUAGCGGUGAAAUGCUUAGAUAUCACGAAGAACUCCGAUUG